rnacentral:rRNA from 1 species
UACGAAGGGGGCUAGCGUUGCUCGGAAUUACUGGGCUUAAAGCGCACGUAGGCGGAUUGUUAAGUCGGGGGUGAAAUCCUGGAGCUCAACUCCAGAACUGCCUUCGAUACUGGCGAUCUCGAGUUCGGGAGAGGUGAGUGGAACUGCGAGUGUAGAGGUGAAAUUCGUAGAUAUUCGCAAGAACACCAGUGGCGAAGGCGGCUCACUGGCCCGGUACUGACGCUGAGGUGCGAAAGCGUGGGGAGCAAACAGG